GACGAACGCUGGCGGCGUGCCUAAUACAUGCAAGUAGAACGCUGAAGAGAGGAGCUUGCUCUUCUUGGAUGAGUUGCGAACGGGUGAGUAACGCGUAGGUAACCUGCCUUGUAGCGGGGGAUAACUAUUGGAAACGAUAGCUAAUACCGCAUAACAAUAGGUGACACAUGUCAUUUAUUUGAAAGGGGCAAUUGCUCCACUACAAGAUGGACCUGCGUUGUAUUAGCUAGUAGGUGAGGUAACGGCCCACCAAGGCGACGAUACAUAGCCGGCCUGAGAGGAUGAUAAGUCAAAAGGGAACUGAGACACGGUCCAGACCACUAAGGGAGGCAGCAGGGGGGAAGAUGGGACAAUGGGCGAAAGCCUGAUCCAGCCAUGCCGCGUGUGUGAAGAAGGUCUUCGGAUGGUAAAGCACUGUGAGUUGGGAGGAAGGGCAGUAGGUUAAUACCUUGCUGUUGUGACGGUACCAACAGAAUAAGAACCGGCUAACUUCGUG
rnacentral:rRNA from 1 species